GUACUGCCGCGAAGACUACUCUCCAUUCACGCGCGGAGACUUCGCUCCUCCUCCUCGGCGUCCUCACUCGCUCCUCUGUACUGCCGCCGCGCCGCUGCAUCCUCGCCGAAGUCGUCUUCUUCUCCGUCCGCCGCCGGAGCCGAGGUCCCCUUCCGCCGCUGCCGGAUCCUACCAUCCGUCGCGGCCGGCGCUCCUCCUCCUCGCUCGCUCGCUCGCUCCGGAUUACUGCCGACGCGCCGCCGCAUCCUCGCCGGAGCCGAGGUCCCCUUCUGCCGCCGCCGGAUCCUACCAUCCGCUGCGGCCAGCGCCGAGGGCGGCCCCUUCCGCCGCCGCCGCCGACGCAGUCAGUGCCUCCCUCUACCGCCGCCUAGGCCCCCGCCUCCGUGCCGUCCGGGAGCAGGAGUUUCGGCAGGGUCGUGUGGUCGCCGUCGUGCCGCCACAGAUCGAGACUCGCUGUCGCCCCGCCGCAAAUGCCUCUGGAUCUCGCCUCCCACCACAGCCACGUGAUCUUCUCUCCCACCGGCCUUCCACUAGCUGCCUGCACCUCCUCAGUCGGGUAGCCGCCACCGACCCUUGCCCUUCGCUGCCCCGUCAUCACGGUCGUCCAAGCCGCGUGCCGCCAUCGCCAGCCAUCCUUCUUACACUCACAGAAUGUAGCGUAUCUUAGCAGAUGCCAAUGUGAAUGCAGUGACAUAUGUGGGCUUCAGUAAUUAGGAGGAACCAAAUAGCAAAGAAGGCUCCUAAGCUCCUGGUGCAUAUUUUCAGUUAUUUCAUUUUCUGGAUCUAGCUUGAUUGAUUGACUUGAACAUUCCAUUUUUCCAGGUGACAUAUAUGAGGUUAUGCUCCUAUAGGUUGAUUUCAUAUUUUUUUCCCCUGUGAACGCAACUGACCUCUCGGUCAAUAGUUCUUCCUUACUGUGAUUCAUGUGCUUCAAGUUAAUAGUCUGGUUCUUUCAAAAUGAGCAGAUCAGUGCUUCUUGAGGUAUUCUACUAAUAACCUUUGCCUUUGGUUUUACUCACACUCUGUGAGUGUGUAAAAGUAGCUUUCCACUGGACUUCCUUGAUUUCCAUGGAUAUGCAGUUAGACAUAGGUGUGUGACGCAUUAACGUGUCUUUCUGCAGGUUGGCACUUGAUAAUUUUGUAUUGUAAUAUAUAAAUAACUCAGUUGCGCAGGUGAUUAAUGGUUGACAGAAAAUUGCCUUCAAUUUAGUUCCGUCAAUAAGAUACUGUGAUCUAACUCAAUUCUCUUCCAUGCCUGACAGCAUUGAUUCUUGCUGUAAAUUUGUAUUUCUCUACAAAUCAACUUUUAUUGCUGAAAAAAUAUUCACUUCAAAUACAUAGAUGUGCUUUAAUGACUAUUUAUGAUGAAAUUCAUUCAAAGCUUUGGUUUGCCAUCGUUUGGCCACCAGUUUUUAAUUCCGAUUGCUACAGAGGAAUUCGCUGUUAGUUUUUAUUUGCUAUGCUUGUUUCUAAUUUACCUUGCAGUUGCAAUUACGGAGCCCUCACCAAGAACGGCAACAACAGCAGGCAAAGCUCAACAGAUUUGGGUUUGGCGCUGCAAGCUGGAAGAAGUAGGCGCAUCAACAGCAUAAUCCUUUCAGUUUUGGGAUACAAGAUGCGAGUGCUCAGUCACGAAAUGCUCUUGGCCAAUCAAAGCUUUUCCAAAUAUGUGAGGUAAGGAACAGAUGGACAUGGAAGAAUUGGAGGUAACCAAUAUUGUUACGCAUAUAUUUUCCUAUCUGAAUCUGUUGUAGAGAAUGGCAGAUUUCCUUCUCACAGGCAUAAUUGCAGACGGUCAAUACUUUGAAAGGGUAGCUUCGGUUAGAGGUUUGUAGUACCUUUGCUAGCAUUUAUCUACUCAUCUUGGAGAUAUUAGUUAAUUGUGAAUCGAUGAGCAGUGGUCAAAAAGAAGAAAGAGCAUGAAUUCCAUAACUAAAUCUUGUGGGCUAUUUUGUCAAUCCAUAACUAAACCUCAGUAAAACUUUUAGUACCCAACCUGUAGAUCAUAACUGAAUAUUCACCUAAUAUUGUGGCCUACAAUUUCAUUUCCCAAUUCGAUGCUCUAGAAGUUUAGAACUAUAACAUGCAUAAUUUCAUUUUUCUUGCACUGCAUAAUUUUGUAAUUACAGCAUGUAUUGGACAAACCUGCAUCUUUUGCUUGUAUAUAAAGAUUAUGUUGUAGAAAGCAGUGGAAAUGAUUUUUGAUGUUUCGGUUCAGUAUGCAGUGGAUAACGCUGGUGAAAGCUCCAAACCAAAUUCGUCCGCACGAACAGUUGUGCCAACCCUGACUAAUCUGAUACCACAUAUUGAUGGGCCUGUACUGCCAACUUUUUUCAUGCCUUGUGAUGUGCUGUGCUUAAAACUCCUACACUGCUCCUGACCAUUGAAUCAGGCAUGUGUUUUGAAUGAUGACUACUUCAUGUAAGCCUAUGGAAAAAAAAACAUUUCAGUGGACGGUUAUAUUACUCAAUGUGAUUACUCAAUGUGAUUAAGGAUAGCACCCCAAGGUGAUUUAGAACUGGUAUUUUUCUGCAGGAAAUGAACAUAUGCAGUCUGUAAUGAUACCUAUGUGUUUCCCCGUUUCAGAAAAUGACAAUGUAUCUUGCAUCCAGCAUUUGUUUCUUCAGAAAAUGUACAAUGCCUAUACCAUUCAGUGUCACAAAAUGUUUCUUCAGACCACACAAAGUAUGGGAUUGCCACGAUUAAAUCUUCUAUCCCUAUAAGCUACAAUUGAUGUACAGAUAAUUGAAUCAACAUAUACUUCUUAUGAAGAAGAAUCACUAUUGGUGCACAUUUCACAUGGUUUGGUAACUAAUUUGAUUGCGGCUAUCCAUGGGCGUGAAGCAGCAUAUACAGUUGCAGUUCUAGGAGAACCAUGUCAUCAUGUAAAAAACAUGGCAAGACGCAGGAAUGUUGGCUGGAUCAAUUUUUCAUUGAUCCAUUAUUUGGUCUUGAUAUGGAAAAUGUAACAAGAUGCUACAGAAGGAGCUGGAUCACACACCAACACACACCAACAGUAAAAACUGACCCUUCAUACUGGGUGGCAGGACGAGCAGCUACCUUGAAUAACUCUAUUGAUACAUGCAAGAAUGUACAGUAUAUUUAAUUGAAAGCAUGUCACGUCCAUGACUUUUGACAAACUAGAGAAUGUUGUAGGAUGAAUGUAUGUGUUGUAUAGUCUUACCUGAAGCUAAUUUGACCUUUGGUAUUUACAAAAAGUGCCUGCAAAGAGUUAUUAAGAUAUUGCAAUUUACACUACAAUAUAUAUGUAAUUUUUGAACUUUGGUUGUUCACAUGUUGGGUGUGAUAUAUAUUGUGGAAAAAAGCAAUAAUCUUCGGGUGAUUUUA